rnacentral:lncRNA from 1 species
CUAAGCAAACAAGCUUGUGCAAUAAUUCGGACAGCCUUCAUUUGCACCUAAGAUCAGGUACGCGAAAAUCCUGCUUUGAUAUAGUGCAAAUAUACUCAGUCAAAUAGCUGCAACGGCAUUCCUUUGUAAGAAUUCUACAUGUGGGGCGGCAGCCAACUUUUCUACUUCU